AAAACAAAAUCAGUCACAGCACACCUGUUUUCAAUAAUAAGCCACACCCCAAACAAUUCAAACUUUUGCACCUGUUGGGCAGACCAUUUGUGCCGAUAUUCAAACUCCUUACAAGUUUGUUUGUUUGUGUCUCAGUGUUUGCAGCAAUAACGCAAACCUGCUACAGGACUGGAUUUCAUGGAUGGAUUCGGUUUGCUGGCGUCUCCCCAACACUGUAGAUGUCCUGAAAUGAAAGGUCAUCCUGGAUUACUAUGGAGAACCGAAAGGCCAAAAAUUAAAACCCAGCAGCAAAACACAUGGACUAGAUUUCACUGACUGGACUGGAUGUGAUUUACCUGUGUGAGUAG